CCUGCCUUACAUGCAUCAGGCCUGUCUAAACAACAAAUAAUUGUCCUUUUCCUCCAACACGUUUUUUGAUACAAUUAAAACUUCAAACGUUUUUCUCACCAAAUUUUAAUUAAUUCUAUAAAUUUUAACUUUUAGAGAACGUUUCUUGCAGUGUUGGAUCUCAAUCUCAUUCUUUGACCAGUUCUAAAAUUUUGAAACGUCACCAUACGUCUUUAUUUUCUUUUUUCUUGUCAUGCAAUUAAUCAAGUUGAAACGUAUAAAAUCAAAGCUUUGUCAAAAAAAUCAAAUACAUAUUCACCAAUCAAUUUGGAGAGGGGGGCCAUCGUCUGGAACCCUGAAACGUCGGGUGACUGGCAGCGGAAGCCAGAAAGUAAGGGAGAGAAAAUGUUGGAAAAUAACAAAAAUUUCUCCCGAGGAAAUGAGAGUUUUUUUUUUUUUUUCCCAAUUAACAGAUUAUGUUUAAAAAUAAAAUUUUCUGGUUUCAUCCAUAGCACCAACUCAUCAAAAUUUCAGUAGUAGAAUGCUUAAUGAUUUGGCUUUUCCACGAUAUAUACGCAGCCGAUAACUUAUGACUCCAAAUCGAUUAAUAUAUAGAUUUAAUCAAGAUAAAUAUUAUAUAAAUCAAAUAUUAAAAAUUUAUUUAAUUAUAUAUGAUUCGAAUUUUAUUGAUACAUGUGAUUAUAUAUAUAUAUAUAAUUUUAAGUGAUCAAUUGGAUUAUUGAGCAUAAUUAUGAGGGCAAAAUGAUGUAAUCCCAAAGGAAUAGAGGGUUCAACGUUGCUUAAAUCAUGACAGUGGUUCCGAGAAAAUAAUUAAGACAUCUUCAUACUGCUUCAACUAAUCUAACAGGAAAUCACUAAUUAAGCUGCAAGUAACCACUACUUUUAGUAAUGGCCAGAUAUCGUGUGUUUUACGCAAUUGUAUCUUCUUUCACUUGACAAGAAUAAAAACUUCUACUUUCCUUUGAAAAAAAAGAGUUUGAACAUGUUGAAAAAAAAAAAUCACAGAAAUUGGAUUAAGGAUUUUAGUCACAAAGAUUCAAAUUAAACACAACCCAAUAUAAAUAAAUUAAUAUUAAUUUGAGUUACAAAUAAUUAAUGAAUAAUUAAUUAAUUAUAAUUUGAUUAUAAUUGGAGCUCAAUCCGAUAUCUGGCCAAAUGAAAAAAAAAAUCAUAAUAACUAGGACUAAACCCCAAUGAGAAGCUUAAGAGAGUCCAGUACAUAUGAGAUUUUAUGACAAUCAACCUCCGCUAGAAAAAAUCUGACAAAGUGAGAAUAUGUGAAUGCAAAGACUGAAAACAACGGUUGCACGUUUGGUGCUAGAAAAUAUUCAGCACAACGGAAGGAAGAAGGCUAAAAUCAAGUAAGCCAGAGUUAUCUCCAGUGAUAUUGAUAGUUUAAAAUAUGAUGUGGAAGAAGGCUAAAAUCAAGUAAGCCAGAGUUAUCUCCAGUGAUAUUGAUAGUUUAAAA
rnacentral:lncRNA from 1 species